GCUCUGCUGCCUUUGAAGAGGUCUUUUUUAACAUUAAAAAAAAUCUUUGAUAGAAAAGAUUUGUAAGUCAUUGUCUACACAAUAGGACAACCCUCCCUCAAAUACUCUUAACCCCAAAACCUUGAUCAAAGUAUGGUAUUGUUGAACCAUAUCCUAUCUGCCAGAUGAUGUAUCCAAUGUACGAAGGCACGGUGAGCACAUGGCAUCAUGACCUGCAACCC
rnacentral:lncRNA from 1 species